CAUUAAAUUAACGUAAAUUCCAUAUUUUUCGAAUUGGUGCUUAGCGGGCUGAUAUGAAAAGUUUAUCACAUGCUUCGAUUGUUAUCACAUGCCUUUCCGUAACGUUAUCACAUCGCAUUCCGGUGAUACUCGGCAAAUUCCGGAAAAUACACCUCAAUGCUACGUUUUCAGUGAAAAACAUUACGAAAUAGUGUACAAAACAAUUAUUUAGAUACUGAAAAGUAUAUUGUGUAAAAUAAUAACAAAAAAGCAAAAAAAUAAAAAUAAAAAAACAAACAAAUUAUACAAAUAAAUGCAUCCUUUAUAAGUUUCCCACAUAAUUUUAGUUACAAGUUUGAAAAGGUUGACUUUUCCAAACAGUGUUCAUUAUGUAUAUUGUUAUUUUUUGUUUGUUUGUCGAGUCAUCCAUAUUAAAAAUGUUUUCUCCUCUGUUGAUGCAUAUGGUAGAAAGAUUUGAUAUCGAAUUUACUAAAUUUGGGUCCGACGUCCGUGAACUUUUCAAUCUUUGAACUUCUAUUUGGGAACCACGUAAAAUGAUCAAUAUAUGAAUCUGUUAUUUUUCUCCAUUGUUGAAGCAUAUGAUAAAAAGAUCAUAACAUGUCAUUUUUCAUAUCGCAUGUAUUAUCAGCCCUCGGUCAAUAUCAGCCCUCGAGCCAUGCGGCUCUUGGGCUGAUAUUGAACCUAGGGCUGAUAAUACAUGCGAUAUGAAAAAUGCCAUGUAAUAAUCUGAUAUUAGCAAA
rnacentral:lncRNA from 1 species